GGUCUUUUUUUUAUAGAAUUUUUAAAUGUGGAAAUAAUAGUUUGGUUAUGUGUAAAUAAAUUAACUGGUGUCAAUGCAAACAUUAAUUCAUGUUAAUUUAGUUGAAAGUAAAUGUAUUAGUUUGGUUCAACAAAUGAAAUGUUGAGAAAAUCAUUUUGAUCAAGGCAAAGAUUUAAGGUUGGGUCAAGUGCAGCAUUAUUGUUUACAUCAACAUAAAAUAAUUAGGUCAUAACAAGUGACUCAAUUUAGAUUCUGUGAAGUCAAAUAUACAUGGAUUAAAGUUCUCCGUCGCUACGACGGAUUUCCGUCAUUUGGAGUUCACAGAGGCCACUUCACAUCUCCGAUAACGUCGGGACAAAUUUACAAACAGGCGUCAUUUGGAUAAACUAAUCGCAUAUUAAGGAUCUAAAUAGGUACUUUCUCGCAUAAAAAAAUAUUAAAACUUAAGAAAGUGAUGUAUUAACAGCACUGAAGCGAGAAUUAAAACAGCUUUUAGCAGCUUUACCGCUACCGCUGCCGCGAAAUGCAUUCUGGGAAACUUGCAUACUGUAUACUGCGUUGCAGUCGGUCUGCUGUAUACUGCAUACUGAAUCCCACAUUCAGUAUGCAGUAUACAGUACAUACCGCGCAGUAUGUAGUCGGCAGUACGGUAGUAUGCAGUUUCGAACAUGGACAUAAUACACGCGUGUAUUAUGUCGUCAUACGUCAACGCCGGUAAAAUUGUCAAAUUAUAUAGUGAGUAUUUAAAAGGUCUACCGUUAAAAUUGACUGAAAACACAAGCAUUUUAAUGUACAUCCCGAUUAUAUAUUAAAUAUAUAUUAAAUAUAUUAUAUACAAAUGUAUAUAUAUACACACCAUUUUCGCGCCACAUCUUACGUCUCUUUGUUGUGUUAGUGUUGAGUGUCAGAGCGAAAGUUAAGCUAGUAUGAACUCCCUUAUAAUGAUUGACGGCUCUGAUGUAUCGGAUAUUGAUAAAACACAAAAAAAUAAAUGGAGAUGGGCAUGGCUGACGGAAACGGGGAACGAUGGCAAGCCUUUUUUAGAGAGUAAAAUAUGAGACAAGCUUUGCAAAAAAAAAAUCUUAGAGUCCAUUUGAAAAGACAACAAAAAAAUUGCAAUAGAUGCAAAAGAACAGCUGUUUAAAAUCCUCCUCCUGUAAAACAGUAUUGGUCGAGCAUUUAAACGUGAUGGCUGCAUUUGGUGCUGACGUCUUAUACAUUUGUAUUUCUUAAGCAGGUGUCAAGUAACCUAACCUGGAACAUGUUUCACACACUGCACGUGACUUGGGUGUAGCGCGAAUAAAAUUUCAGUCAGAAGAUUUUUUUUCACUUUAAUCCCUGAAUAUAUUAGUUUGGUUCAACAACUGAAAUGUUGAGAAAAUCAUUUGGAUCAAGGAAAAGAUUUAAGGUUGGGUCAAGAGCAGCAUUAUUGUUUACAUCAACAGAAAAUAAUCAGGUCAUAACAAGUGACUCAAUUUAGAUUCUGUGAAGUCAAAUAUAUUAGAUGUGAUAUCUGGACAUAAUUUUUUUUUUGAUUUGAGCACGGUUAUACUUUUUUCAGUGAUAUGUCGGCCUAGGCUUAAUCAAUUGUGUUUUAAUAUCUUUAGCAUAUUAUUGCAAUCUAUUCUUUUCGUAGGCUACUCUGCGGUUGGCCUUGAUGGGGAGAUAUUUUAACCCUUUUUAACCCCAUUUUCCAGCGACAUUCCUGCGUCUCCCCCUGCGUCAUUGCCCGUUUCAGCACCAUGUCAGUGGACAGGUACAAUCCUACGAUCGUCGUGAGUGCAGCGAAUGCGCGUUCACGUUAAGAGGAGUUUCGGGAAACGCUCCAAAGAAAUUAUCGAUGGUUCGAAAGAUCCAUCUUUCGAACCAUCUUACGAGCGAAGAUCGAUCGAUAUCGGCCCUGGCCCCGUUUCCCGAAAGCAUCGUUAGCCUAAGUGGAUCGCAGAGUGGGUCGUACGAGCAUCGUACAGUUUUCACACCGUUUCCCGAAAGCAUCGUUGGUAACGAACGUCUUGAAAACGCUCGUAGCUAACGAGUGCUCCAGGGUACUCAUAGGACGCUAAGAGCAUCGUUAGCCUUAGAGUGAACUCAUUAUUGCAUGCGGGUGUCUUCAUUCAUAAAAAAAUGAAAACAUUCGGGAGUAUGCAAUAAUACAAAUUAUUCUAAAGAGGUCAGAGACUCCGUGCACAGCCCCGCCUUCCCCAGCGAACCAAGAAAUCCCGCGCCGUGACGAACGGGGGAUUUGACCCCCUCGGUAUUACACAGGAAACUUGAGAUAAGAAGGUGAAAUCGCCGGGCGUGCCAAUAAGCUGCGACUGAACCGGCUCGGCAGUGUAGAAAGACUAUAGCCAGGGUUCGAGUUAGGUGGGAGGCAGUGGGAGCUGAGCUCCCAUAAAGAGAGGUCUGGCUCCCAUGAAAGCAGUAAACUCAAAUAUCAUUUGAAGAUACAGCCGCAUAAUAUUGUAAUUAUACAAAU
ensembl:lncRNA